rnacentral:misc_RNA from 1 species
GAUGAAGAACGCAGCGAAAUGCGAUAAGUAAUGUGAAUUGCAGAAUUCAGUGAAUCAUCGAAUCUUUGAACGCACACUGCGCCCGCUAGUAUUCUAGCGGGCAUGCCUGUUCGAGCGUCAUUUCAACCAUCAAGCCCCAGGCUUGUGUUGGAGCCCUGCGACCGUCCUCAGCCUCCUAAAAUCAGUGGCGGGCUCGCUAUCACACCGAGUGCAGUAGUUUACUCUUCGCUCAGGACGUGUAGCGGGUUCCGGCCGUGAAACCCCCCAAUUUUCAAGGUUGACCUCGGAUCAGGUAGGAAUACCCGCUGAACUUAAGCAUAUCAAUAAGCGGAGGA